rnacentral:rRNA from 1 species
CCGGUCUGAACUCAGAUCACGUAGGAUUUUAAAGGUUGAACAAACCUUCUAUUUAAACGGCUACAUUUAAUAGAAUUCCUAAGCCAACAUCGAGGUGCUAAACUUCCCCGUAGAUGUGGGCUCUUGGGGGAAAUAAGACUGUUAUCCCUGCGGUAGCUAGAAUUAAAGAUCAUGAAAUGGGUCUAUGGGUUGAUAAAUAAUCUUUAUUAUAUAGGGAAGUUAUAUUUGUUCCCUUGUCGCCCCAACAAAAUUCUUGUAAGAUUUAAAAUUAAGAUUUUUAUUUUAUGGAAUUAAGCUCGACAGGGUCUUCUUGUCUUUUAAAUAAAUUCAGGCCUCUUCACCUGAAGGUUAAUUUUUAUUAUUAUAAAGGAGACAGUUAGGCUUUCGUUUUUCCAUUCAUACUAGCCUCUAAUUAGGAGGCAAAUGAUUAUGCUACCUUUGCACGGUCAGGAUACCGCGGCCGUUGAAAAUUCACUGGGCAGGAUAUAUACCUAUUAUAAGAUUGUCAAUAGGCUAUGUUUUG